AGGAUCAAACCCAGGGCCUCACACAUGCCAGGUCAUUUCUAUAGUUCAUUACUAGAAGUUUCUCUGAAUGAAGAGAGCACUGGACACCAUGAGGCAGAGGUGCAGCUUUCUCUCUGGGUGCAAAGCAGCUAUUUGUCAUUGAUAGUCAUUCUUUUCCUUCAGGAGAGUGAGAGGCACAAUGCCAUCAGAGUGGA
rfam:Ictidomys tridecemlineatus contig020095, whole genome shotgun sequence.